rnacentral:rRNA from 1 species
CAAGUCGAACGGGAAAGUGGGCAACCAUGAGUACAGUGGCGUACGGGUGAGUAACACGUGGGUGAUCUACCUCUUAGUGGGGAAUAACCCUGGGAAACCGGGGCUAAUACCGCAUAAUCUCGAGAGAGGAAAGCAGCAAUGCGCUGAGAGAGGAGCCCGCGGCCGAUUAGCUAGUUGGUAGGGUAAGAGCCUACCAAGGCAGAGAUCGGUAGCCGGCCUGAGAGGGCACACGGCCACACUGGCACUGAAACACGGGCCAGACUCCUACGGGAGGCAGCGGUGGGGAAUCUUGCACAAUGGGGGCAACCCUGAUGCAGCGACGCCGCGUGAGCGAUGAAGCCCUUCGGGGUGUAAAGCUCUUUCGGUAGGGAAGAUGAUGACGGUACCUGCAGAAGCAGCUGCGGCUAACUACGUGCCAGCAGCCGCGGUAAUACGUAGGCAGCGAGCGUUGUUCGGAGUUACUGGGCGUAAAGGGUGUGUAGGCGGUCUUUUAAGUUUGGUGUGAAAUCUCCCGGCUCAACCGGGAGGGUGCGCCGAAUACUGAGAGACUUGGAGUGCGGGAGAGGAAAGUGGAAUUCCUGGUGUAGCGGUGAAAUGCGUAGAUAUCAGGAGGAACACCGGUGGUGUAGACGGCUUUCUGGACCGUAACUGACGCUGAGACACGAAAGCGUGGGUAGCAAACAGGAUUAGAUACCCUGGUAGUCCACGCCCUAAACGAUGCAUAUUUGGUGUGGGCAGUUCAUUCUGUCCGUGCCGGGGCUAACGCGUUAAAUAUGCCGCCUGGGGAGUACAGUCGCAA